rnacentral:rRNA from 1 species
UACGAAGGGUGCAAACGUUGCUCGGAAUCAUUGGGCGUAAAGCGCACGUAGGCGGUUCGUACAGUCAGACGUGAAAUUCCUGGGCUCAACCUGGGGGCUGCGUUUGAUACGUGCGGGCUUGAGUGCGGAAGAGGGUCGUGGAAUUCCCAGUGUAGAGGUGAAAUUCGUAGAUAUUGGGAAGAACACCGGUGGCGAAGGCGGCGACCUGGUCCGAUACUGACGCUGAGGCGCGAAAGCGUGGGGAGCAAACAGG